AAAAAAAUACUUGAACAAGGAAAUGUAACAUUCAACAUCAAUUCAACCUCCAGCUUUCCUCGUGAGUGCCUGGUUUGUUUAACCGAAUCAAUCCGCAGGCCUUUGCCUUCUCUCGUCUCGAGCUACUCGCUCACAACCAAUCACGUUAUUCUGGUCAGUUCUUAAUUGAUUUCAGCUGCGUCUCCCCCGCCUCUCCUUAUAAAGCGCCCCCACCGUGACGGUUGUUAAUCGUUUUUUUUGCGUUGGGUUGCGUGGGUUGAACAAUCCGGACAUCGUGGCCACCGACGUGGACCCCCCGCCACCGGGACCCACGCACACCGACCACCACACUGGGAAGUGUCCUCUGCUCACUGUGGAAGCAGCAUGGAAGAACUGCAGCAACUCUGAUGGAAACUACAGGACAUCCACGCUGUUGAACACGAACUAUUUCAGGCCUACUACAAACAGAGGCGGUCCCACUCGGUUAAAGAUCUCGUGGUCAAUGCGGCCGACCGCUGGACCUGGACGUCACCUUCUGCAGAUACUUCACUGCCCUCAAGAAUCCACGGAUAACUUGAAACAUGUCCGACUCCACAUGUCCGAAAAAUCCAGGAUGGAAACUUGUGGAAGGAAGAAAGGGUUCUGUUUUUGCUAAACCCAUAACCCCACUGAGCCCUUCUGUGGAAACCUGUCUGACUGACCCUACUGACUGGGGGCCUGUUGAUGAGUGUUUGGUUGGUCUGGUAGAAGGUUUGCUGCUUGUGAUCUGCAAGGUGGUCCUGGGUUAGAUGCGGUGUCUGACUUGCACACCACUCUCCCAAUUCUAUUCUUCUCUUUACUACUUUUCUACUUUCAAUACACGUGCUGCUGCUGCUGUUGACCGCUGGUGGUGCAAUGUGGUUUUUAUUCGCGUAUGUUCUGUGGACUUUGCAUUUGUAUUUUAAUGAACAUGUUUACUGCCUGUUAGACCUCGGAUUGGCAAACCUAAACUCCUUCACUGGCAAAAUGUAGAUGCAUAUUAAAUGCCAAAAUUAACAUUUCAAUAUUCGUUUUGCGUAUUUUACCAAUAGCUUCGGAACUAGACGAACCUCAUAUAUAAAUUGCUCUUCAAAGAUGCGGUCAGGCGCCCCUCCUUUAUAUAACGUUCUCUGCCCGGUACGAAAUAGACCGACCAAUAACAACCCUUUAGGCUAUCUAAUGUGAGGUUGGAUAUACGCAACAUGUAGAGGUGUUUCAACAACAAAGAUGGAAGUUAGUGAACUAAAGACUGUAUAUGCUCACUAAAAGAACGAACGACUACUACUCUUAAAGAUUUUGAGGAAUAUGUAUUUCUGCAUCACCCGUUCCAAUGCUAUGAUUAGUCGAGGCCUAUCCAAUAGCAUAGGAUCGACCCAUUUUAGAUCGCGCCCUUUAGACACGCCUUGGAAAUUGAACAACGCACUUCAACGCAGAGGAUCCAGAAGGAUUUCACAACGAGUCCAUUGGAAGAUAUCGAGGAACAUGAACAUCACCAAUGAAGGAGAGUAACGUUUCCACUUGCUAUAGGAAUUGAAGCACUAAAUAGUUAAUAAUAAUAAUAAUAAUAUAAAAUGUGGUCACCAUUUAUUGACUUUUUGGGUAAGACUUGCUUUACUAAUAUAACCACGUUAAAACCGCAUUCAUUUACUUUUCUUGUGUAGUUUCACACUAUUCAUUAAAUGUGUUGUAGAAGUAAAAAAGUAAUCAAUAGAACUAUGCACAUUUGUACAACUAAUCAUUACACAGGAUUUGAACAUUUUCUAUAUUCGAGCUCAUGCUUCAUAAUAUUUCCAAGGAUUGCAGAGUACCAAAUUAUUUAUGAACAGUGGUUUGUUUUUGUUCAGGAGCGGAUUGUACUCCCAGAGGCUUCAACAGAGCGGGUCUGGAGCUGGGAGCUGCAGGUGGAUGGUGGCCAGGAGCCGUUCAGUCCUACAGGAACAGACGGUAGAGGUGAUGGAGGUGCUCGCCGUGAGGUCCGUGGCGGUCGUCUGGAGGUGCUCGCCGUGAGGGCCGUGGCGGUCGUCUGGAGGUGCUCGCCGUGAGGGCCGUGGCGGUCGUCUGGAGGUGCUCGCCGUGAGGUCCGUGGCGGUCGUCUGGAGGUGCUCGCCGUGAGGUCCGUGGCGGUCGUCUGGAGGCGCUCGCUGCAGCUGGAGGGAAGGCCGGGAGCCGUACAGCCCAAGGGAUGCAGAACGAAGGACUGAGGUGGAGGCCAGCCUGGAGGUGGAGGCCAGCCUGGAGGUGGAGGCCAGCCUGGAGGUGGAGGCCAGCCUGGAGGUGGAGGCCAGCCUGGAGGUGGAGGCCAGCCUGGAGGUGGAGGCCAGCCUGGAGGUGGAGGCCAGCCUGGAGGUCCUGGAGGCGUCCAACCUGGAAGGGGCAGCAUGGAGGGCCAGAAGGGCCUGGAGGCGGCCAACCUGGAGGUCCUGGAGUCGGUGGGCCUGGAGGCGAUGGCAGCGGCCAUCCUGGAGGCGGACUACCUGGUGGUCCUGGAGGCGGAUUGUGGAGACCAUCCUGGAGGGCCUGGAGGUGGCGCCGGCCUGGAGGACCUGGAGGGGGCGAAGGGCCUGGAGGAGGUGGCCAACCUGGAGGCAACGGCGGGCCUGGAGGCGGCCAACCUGGAGGUCAAUCUGAUCAACGAGAAAAAUCAAAGAGCGCAGCCAGGAACUGGUGGUAUCGCCAUUUGGGGAAAAUAACUUAUUUCUAACUUUGAUGCCAAGUAACUGCAGUGUUUCCCCCAGCACUGUAUGGUUAAGGCCGCUGUCACACUAAAUUUGUACCGGGCGCGUCAUCCAUACGUAAUCCACUCCAAAUCUGCCUGGCAACGGACGAUCGCGUCGAAUGACGUGAACAUUCGCGAACCUUCUAUCUAGCGAUCCGUUAUCUGUAUUGUGCUAUUUCGUCCUUGACCUGCUUUAAACUCUCAGUUUACUUGCUAAAUUUGAUUAAACAAUUAAAUACAAUACAAAUAUAUAAAGUAAAAACAAGUGUUAUCUGUAAUGAUAUCAACAUCAGUUAUUAGACGUCACACGGAGCAUGCGCAGUUGGAUUGGCGCGCUGCAUGUGGAUGUCUGUUCCGGGUUAAGAAUGUGACAAGGUUAAUGUUACCUCAUGGAUGGGUCAUGAAUAUAAAGCCCUUCUCUUCAAGAUACAUCGUGUGUUUAUUAAGGAACCCAACAAAACAUUACAUUAUCUAGAGAUCCGUUAACUGUAUUAUGUUAUUUCGUCUUUGGCAACAUGAGCGCGAAUGUUUUUUUUUUUAAACCUGCCCGACAACGGACGACGCGAUCAUCUGCUGACAGGCAGGUUUGGAAUGGAUUACGUAUGGAUGACGCGCCCGGUACAAAUUUGGCAGCCGGUACAAAUUUAGUGUGACACAGCCGGUACAAAUUUAGUGUGACUCCGUCUUAACAACAGUAGGGCCCUGCCUUGACUACAAUGUAUAAAAAAUAAUAAUUAUGCAAUAACAAAGUGCAAAACUUUCGUAUGGAAAGAAAACAUACUUUCCUCAAGUAGAAAUAAUAAAGAUAAAUAAUUCGUCGUUAAUAAUGUUCAAAACAAUAGUCGUGGCAUAAAGCUUUUUGAAUUGAAAAAGCGGCCUCAGGUGGUUGUAUAUAUUAUUGCGAACUGAAACCCUCGCCGAAGACCCCCCCCUGCUCCUUGACCACCUUGACUAAGCCAUUUUCUGGGGGAAACACUGAACUGGUUUGUAUCACUUAGUGAUACACUAGGUAGUGAGUACACUAGGAUAGCUGGGUUAUCUCCAAAUGGUAACUGAGUGUUUGCUCCAGCAGGAUUGAAGGAGUCACUGGGAUGAAGAUCCCUGCUGAGGGGCUGACGACCCCCACACCCACUCAUCUUUCCGGAGAAGCGUCCUCAUGGUGCAGGCGGUCAAACCUCCACCUCUUUGAAGAGACCAAGCAGCUUGACUGACUGACUGGUUCCUUAUACUCCGGACCUCGUCCCGGAGCAGAGGACAGACCUAAGGCCUGCAGUCCAGCGGUCUAGGGACUCCAUGUGGAACCGGUUCAAUAAUGUUGACCUCUCCUUCAGGCGACUUAAAGGGAGACCAGAUGUGCGGCAGCUGGGUGUCAUGGUGCAGAGACCCAACGCUGCACUGAACUACACCAGUGUGUCCUACUCCCCAUAAACCCUGAGGAUCCCUGGCUACACCAGCACAUUAAUCCACACCCAACAUUAACACACAGUGCACACUCUAUAGAGCUUGUAAGUCCGCCCCUUGCGGUGGGACCUCGUGAGAUCGUAAGAUAUGACUGGGUUUCAAUGGAGAGAAAGUAAUUAUUUUCUCCAUUAUGUUGCACCACAUUUUGGGGGAAGAAUGUUUGAAUCAAUCUUUGUCAUUUAUUUCUGUACUCCACAUCUGUAAUCCCAGCUGUUGUAUUUUAACACUGUAGCUGGGAACCCUCUUUAUAGGGAGCGGCUAGAGGGACGAGGCUGGAAGCAAACCUGAGCCUGGAUCUUAACCUUCUUUCUAAACCUAAUGCCGCAAUUUAACCGCAAAUAAAGUGAGGCCUAAAGUAACUUGACUCUCUUACCUAAACUUGCUUGCCUAAACUCGCUUGUCUAAACUCGCUUGCAUAAAACCUAAACUCGCUUGCAUAAAACCUGAACUUGCUUGGCUAAACUCGCGUCGCUUGCCUAAUACCUGAACUUGCUUGCCUAAACUCGCUUGCCUAAUACCUGAACCCGCUUGCCUAAACCCGCUUGCCUAAACCCGCUUGCCUAAACUCGCUUGCCUAAUACCUGAACUCACUUGCAUAAAACCUAAACUCGCUUGGCUUGACUCGCUUGCCUGUACUCGCUUGCCUAAUACCUGAAGUCGCUUGCCUAAUACCUUGAAGUCGCUUGCCUAAUACCUGAACACGCUUGCCUAAAACCUAAACUCGCUUGGCUUGACUCGCUUGCCUGUACUCGCUUGGCUAAAUACGCUUGCAUAAAACCUAAACUCGCUUGGCUUGACUCGCUUGCCUGUACUCGCUUGGCUAAACUCGCUUGCCUAAUACCUGAAGUCGCCUGCCUAAACUCGCUUGCCUAAAACCUAAACUUGCUUGUCCAAACGCGUUACACAAAGUUAACCAUCCAUAAUCUUUAACCCAAACCAGACUUGUCCCUGGGUCGCUCCACUUUAAUUUAGAAGUUUCUUCUUUUACCUCAUCUGCGUUUUGAGUUUCAUUCUUUGAGGGCUUGAAGUGCUUUGGAGGAUAUUUGAACCUUUGUUUGCCGCAUCAAUAAACAUGCUUUAUCUUUACCCAUUUUGUUUAGGAUUGCAUUUCUAUGUGUAAUCCGGCCAAAGGUUCAGUGUCCUUGCAUGUAAUGUCUAUGGUCUGACGAUAAUCUGACCUCUUCAUGAAGCAGAAUGUGUGUGAAUGUUGUCCCGUGAGCUCCAGGCUCUCUGUGGGCCUGUCAAUGUCUCUUUAGCAAAAAAUUGAAAUUCAUUUUUGUACCAUUUUCCUGUGUUCCUGAGUAUUUCAGACCUGUGGUGUUUCACAUGAGACCUUAAUGGGAACUUUUAUUUUUCUGCCUGCAUACGUAAUGCCUACAGUAGGGUGAUCACUGUUGAUCCCAAUAUUGAUCAUUAACCACCUCAUUCUUUUAUGAUUUUUUUCGAUAAGGAUUACAAAUCAUGUAAUUUAUGAGCAUAUUUGCAAAUGGCUCCAAAUAUCAGAUUGUGUAAAAACUAAUGAAAUGUAACCUGCUUGAUUUCAAGAAAAUAAAACAUCC
ensembl:lncRNA